GUGAUAGAGGCGCGGGCUUCAUCAGUAUCCCGGGUAUCGGCGCGGAAACGCCGCGGGGGAAAGGGGAUCCCGCCGAAGCUUCGCUCGGUUUCCGCCGUUCGGUUGCUGGUACAGCGCGUAACACGCGCCGUACUGUCGUUACAUAGUAACGGAGUGCUAUU
rnacentral:ncRNA from 1 species